ACUAAAUAGCUUAUUCAUUUUAAAUGAAUAUGAAGGAGCAAUUAAGACAUAUUUUUUAUGGAUUCCAAAUAGUGCAGGAAAUCUUUAGUGAGUAUAGAUUAAGAAUUAAAUUUUUCUUUAAUCAUCUUGGAAUUUUAGCAAUUGAAAUCAGUUGAAGCCUUUCACAAAUAUACUAUUUAUGGCAUGAAGUUUGUGAGUCAGUGAUCCUAGUGAUCGCAUUCAUCAAACGGUAGUUGUCUAAUUCAGUUCAGGCAAUUUGACUUAAGAAAUACGCCUGCAGAAAUACAAAAAUUGCGCAUUAUCAAAUUGCAAGGUGAUUGGAUUGGAUUGGAACAAGUACAAGCACAAGCCAACUGGCAUAUUUAUCGGCCACUGUGAUUAUUACACCACAAUCAGCUAGAAUGAUACAACGAUUAAAAUAUUUGGAAAGCGUCAUGAGGGAUUCUUUGGUAACGCAUAAGCACUUUUAUGAAAUCUUUAUACAACAUCAAUGUUUACAUUUUAUCAGGUCCUUUCAACUACUGCUGCUUUGCACACUGACUCCUUCACCAGGAAUCGUUCUGAAAAUAUUAUAUGAAG